UUUUAAACUCCUUAGUUUUAUAUUUGUCUGUAUAAAUGCCAUUUUAUCAUCUUGAAAAACAAAAUUCCUUGCUCUCACUCCUCCCAGGUGACGCCUGAAGCAACAGGCCAAAGGGGGAAUGUAGAAAGGGGCUUCUGGGCUUCCAUCUCGGAAGGUGGCGGAACGGGGGUCGAACGGCCGACCGUUUUCUCUGAGCAACAUGGCAGCGCCCUUGUUCCCAANGUGCGUGGGAAAAUCCCCGUUCAGAAGUCCUGCGAAAGCCCUUCGGUCAAAGUCAAGCGGAGCAAAGGCUUUCAUUUUCAAGCGGCCCUUGUGGAAAGAGCCUAAGAGGCAGAAAGAAGCAAAUGAUGGGCUGCCUCAGGAAUCAAUUGUGGGUUAUUCCAAGCGCCAAAACCGGUCGUGGUCUGGUGCGUUGUGUGGCAUCGUUCGUGCAACCUGGAUGCUGGGUUUUUCUUUUGUUUUUAAUUGCUUUGGUGCCAUGAGACGCUAGGAGCCUGUUUCUUAGCUUUUUUCCGGGGGAGGCAAAUCACCUUUCCGACAGUGUGUCAAAAGUUACUUGAAAUGUUUGUUGUUUUCAAAGACUGCUGUUCGUGCUGGUUUUGCUGAUAGGCACUGCCUGUUUCGGGGCUCAGAGUCAAAAUUGCGAGGGAUUUCUGAACGUCUGCCGUGAGAGAUCUUCUCUGCAUUAUUCACUGUGGCCCGAAGAGGCAGGGACGUCUCGCCCUUGAUUUCAUACCGAAGUCCCACAGCUGUCUUUGAGCCGGCCAGCGUCGUGUGUGAAGAGGAGAAGCAGCUGCGCGCUUCCCAGGAGACCCUCAGCUGAACGUUUCAGUGGGGAACCAUACGUGCAGCACAUGCUCAGGGCGUGGGGCAAACUUCAGGAAGGGGGGAAGAGCCUCCAACAGUACUUCCACGGCUUCAUCUAUGAGUACUUGAACUGAGCGGAACGGCGGGCUUCGGGCCUCGGACUUGUCUUCUUGAACCGAAACCCAGGGACGAAGGUCCCUCUGGCCCAAAGCCACCCCAGGGGUUGUUCUGUCCCAUCUAGGCUGGUAGGAAACUGAUAGGGGGUCGCCNUGGAGGGCGCUGGUUCCAGCUCCUCUUGUUUGCUUGGGACAACUGAUGGAGCGAGACACGUGGGUCUGUUUGAGGACCUUGUGGCCGUUUUUCUUCUGCAAACCGGUUCGUACCACCUCUGUCUCUGAAGCCAGCCGCUGAGCUUCCGUUUGCCUCAGCAACAUUGCCGAGUCCAGCUGUGGAAACGUGGAAUCGUUUGCUUUUUAGAGUAGCACAGGUUCCUUUGUUGACUUGAGGGGGCCUCAGAGAGAGAUUCUGUCCGAGGCUGGAGGGUAAGAGGCUGAGAGGUGGCGUUGGUCCUUCUCCGAUGGAGGUCAAAUAUUAAGGCAAGAACAGAGAAGACACAACUAGCAGCUCAUACUGGUUAGGAACCCUGAGUCUUUGGAAGGAGAGUCGGGGGACAGGGGCAGUUUUUGGGGGACGCUGCUCCUCACGAGUGCUGACGCGUUGUUUCUCGUGUUCCAGUUAAAAUAAAAAACGCAGAGUCUGCUAAUAUGCA
rnacentral:lncRNA from 1 species